rnacentral:rRNA from 1 species
GUAAGGAAUAUUGGACAAUGGACGCAAGUCUGAUCCAGCCAUGCCGCGUGAAGGAUUAAGGUCCUCUGGAUUGUAAACUUCUUUUAUAAGGGACGAAAAAAGGCUUUUCUAAGUCGUCUGACGGUACCUUAUGAAUAAGCACCGGCUAACUCCGUGCCAGCAGCCGCGGUAAUACGGAGGGUGCAAGCUUUAUCCGGAUUCACUGGGUUUAAAGGGUGCGUAGGCGGGCAGGUAAGUCAGUGGUGAAAUCCUAGAGCUUAACUCUAGAACUGCCAUUGAUACUAUCUGUCUUGAAUAUUGUGGAGGUAAGCGGAAUAUGUCAUGUAGCGGUGAAAUGCUUAGAUAUGACAUAGAACACCUAUUGCGAAGGCAGCUUACUACGCAUAUAUUGACGCUGAGGCACGAAAGCGUGGGGAUCAAACAGGAUUAGAAACCCCGGUAGUCC